GUUGUAUGGUUAAGUGACUAAGCGUACACGGUGGAUGCCUGGGCAGUCAGAGGCGAUGAAGGACGUACUAACUUGCGAUAAGCGCAGAUAAGGCAGUAAGAGCCGUUUGAGUCUGCGAUUUCCGAAUGGGGAAACCCAACUGCAUAAGCAGUUACUGUUAACUGAAUACAUAGGUUAACAGAGCAAACCGGGGGAACUGAAACAUCUAAGUACCCCGAGGAGAAGAAAUCAACCGAGAUUCCGGUAGUAGCGGCGAGCGAACCUGGAUUAGCCCUUAAGCACUCGGUGAAGUAGGUGAACAAGCUGGAAAGCUUGGCGAUACAGGGUGAUAGCCCCGUAACCGACGCUUCAUCGAGCGUGAAAUCGAGUAGGGCGGGACACGUGAUAUCCUGUCUGAAUAUGGGGGGACCAUCCUCCAAGGCUAAAUACUCCUGACUGACCGAUAGUGAACCAGUACCGUGAGGGAAAGGCGAAAAGAACCCCUGUGAGGGGAGUGAAAUAGAACCUGAAACCGUGUACGUACAAGCAGUAGGAGCACCUUCGUGGUGUGACUGCGUACCUUUUGUAUAAUGGGUCAGCGACUUAUAUUCAGUGGCAAGGUUAACCGUAUAGGGGAGCCGUAGCGAAAGCGAGUCUUAACUGGGCGCUCAGUCUCUGGAUAUAGACCCGAAACCGGGUGAUCUAGCCAUGGGCAGGUUGAAGGUUGAGUAACAUCAACUGGAGGACCGAACCGACUAAUGUUGAAAAAUUAGCGGAUGACUUGUGGCUAGGGGUGAAAGGCCAAUCAAACUCGGAGAUAGCUGGUUCUCCCCGAAAGCUAUUUAGGUAGCGCCUCGGACGAAUACUACUGGGGGUAGAGCACUGUUAAGGCUAGGGGGUCAUCCCGACUUACCAACCCUUUGCAAACUCCGAAUACCAGUAAGUACUAUCCGGGAGACACACGGCGGGUGCUAACGUCCGUCGUGGAGAGGGAAACAACCCAGACCGCCAGCUAAGGUCCCAAAGUAUUGCUAAGUGGGAAACGAUGUGGGAAGGCUCAGACAGCUAGGAUGUUGGCUUAGAAGCAGCCAUCAUUUAAAGAAAGCGUAAUAGCUCACUAGUCGAGUCGGCCUGCGCGGAAGAUGUAACGGGGCUAAGCAAUACACCGAAGCUGCGGCAAUGUCUUUUAGACAUUGGGUAGGGGAGCGUUCUGUAAGCCGUUGAAGGUGAAUCGUAAGGUUUGCUGGAGGUAUCAGAAGUGCGAAUGCUGACAUGAGUAACGACAAAGGGGGUGAAAAACCUCCUCGCCGGAAGACCAAGGGUUCCUGUCCAACGUUAAUCGGGGCAGGGUGAGUCGACCCCUAAGGUGAGGCCGAAAGGCGUAAUCGAUGGGAAACGGGUUAAUAUUCCCGUACUUCUGACUAUUGCGAUGGGGGGACGGAGAAGGCUAGGUGGGCCAGGCGACGGUUGUCCUGGUUCAAGUGCGUAGGCUUGAGAGUUAGGUAAAUCCGGCUCUCUCUAAGGCUGAGACACGACGUCGAGCUACUACGGUAGUGAAGUCAUUGAUGCCAUGCUUCCAGGAAAAGCCUCUAAGCUUCAGAUAGUCAGGAAUCGUACCCCAAACCGACACAGGUGGUCGGGUAGAGAAUACCAAGGCGCUUGAGAGAACUCGGGUGAAGGAACUAGGCAAAAUGGUACCGUAACUUCGGGAGAAGGUACGCUCUUGAUGGUGAAGUCCCUCGCGGAUGGAGCUGACGAGAGUCGCAGAUACCAGGUGGCUGCAACUGUUUAUUAAAAACACAGCACUGUGCAAAAUCGCAAGAUGACGUAUACGGUGUGACGCCUGCCCGGUGCCGGAAGGUUAAUUGAUGGGGUUAGCGCAAGCGAAGCUCUUGAUCGAAGCCCCGGUAAACGGCGGCCGUAACUAUAACGGUCCUAAGGUAGCGAAAUUCCUUGUCGGGUAAGUUCCGACCUGCACGAAUGGCGUAAUGAUGGCCACGCUGUCUCCACCCGAGACUCAGUGAAAUUGAAAUCGCUGUGAAGAUGCAGUGUACCCGCGGCUAGACGGAAAGACCCCGUGAACCUUUACUACAGCUUGGCACUGAACAUUGAACCUACAUGUGUAGGAUAGGUGGGAGGCUAUGAAGACGUGACGCCAGUUGCGUUGGAGCCGUCCUUGAAAUACCACCCUUGUAUGU
rnacentral:rRNA from 1 species